ACCAUUAAAAAGAAAACAAAUAUACUAAUAAUUUGUCAAUAAUCAUAAAUAUAUUGCCAUUUGUUAAGUUUUUAGAUGUUUUUUUAGAGUCUUUCCCACCAGAUACAUAUCCUCAUUUUCCUAUUCACCAGAUACCUUUGUAGAUAUACCAGGAACAAUACUUAGGUUCACUUCAUGGUGAAUGGUUAAAUUCACUUCACCAUUUAUAAUCAACCAAAGUGCCAUGUAAGAUUAGUUAAGAAAGUAAUAAAAUUAAAAAAUAAAUGGCUGAGAAAAACAACACCGACGUUAAAGCCGUCUGCAAAAUCCGAAAC
rnacentral:lncRNA from 1 species